rnacentral:rRNA from 1 species
UACGAGUGCCCCGAGCGUUAUCCGGAAUCAUUGGGCGUAAAGGGUGUGUAGGUGGUUCUGUUAGUCUUCCGUUAAAUUCUUCGGCUUAACCGGGGGCAUGCGGGGGAAACGGCAGAACUUGAGGAUGCGAGAGGUGUGUGGAACUCUAUGUGUAGGGGUGAAAUCCGUUGAUAUAUAGGGGAACACCAAAAGCGAAGGCAGCACACUGGCGCACUCCUGACACUGAAACACUAAAGCGUGGGUAGCGAAUGGG